rnacentral:rRNA from 1 species
GACGAACGCUGGCGGCGUGCUUAACACAUGCAAGUCGAACGGAAAGGCCCUGCUUUUGUGGGGUGCUCGAGUGGCGAACGGGUGAGUAACACGUGAGUAACCUGCCCUUGACUUUGGGAUAACUUCAGGAAACUGGGGCUAAUACCGGAUAGGAGCUCCUGCUGCAUGGUGGGGGUUGGAAAGUUUCGGCGGUUGGGGAUGGACUCGCGGCUUAUCAGCUUGUUGGUGGGGUAGUGGCUUACCAAGGCUUUGACGGGUAGCCGGCCUGAGAGGGUGACCGGCGACAUUGGGACUGAGAUACGGCCCAGACUCCUACGGGAGGCAGCAGUGGGGAAUAUUGCACAAUGGGCGGAAGCCGGAUGCAGCAACGCCGCGUGCGGGAUGACGGCCUUCGGGGUGUAAACCGCUUUCGCCUGUGACGAAGCGUGAGUGACGGUAAUGGGUAAAGAAGCACCGGCUAACUACGUG